CGCUGUCUGAGCAAGAAAAAAAAUAAUUGUGCACUUUUACACAAAUCUGAGCUACAGCGGGUUUAGGAUGUACAUCAGAUACAGUGUACAACUAACAACAAGAUAUAAGGGGACUUUCAGAUGGGACACAUUUUAUCUCGUGAGCACGCGCUGAUCUUUCUGUACACUAACCGAAGUCCAGGAACGGGUACGGCCGACACGCCCGGGCCACCGCUGAGCUGUCGAAGCUGGCCAUGAACUCCCAGCGAAGAUCUUCCAGGAAGCUGAAGGCCACGGCAGCAGACACACUGCACAUACACACACUCAGAUAUGGAGCUCAUGGCCCAUGAUGAUCCCUCUCUCAGGAAGCGAGUUCAGCGAUUUUGAAACGGUGCGGAUCUGCUGCUUCCUCUCCUGCAGCUCUCUGCUGUGCUGGAAGUCGGUGGAGGCGGACAGAGGG